UCCUGACUGACCGAUAGUGAACCAGUACCGUGAGGGAAAGGCGAAAAGAACCCCGGCGAGGGGAGUGAAAAAGAACCUGAAACCGUGUACGUACAAGCAGUGGGAGCACGCUUAGGCGUGUGACUGCGUACCUUUUGUAUAAUGGGUCAGCGACUUAUAUUCUGUAGCAAGGUUAACCGAAUAGGGGAGCCGAAGGGAAACCGAGUCUUAACUGGGCGUUAAGUUGCAGGGUAUAGACCCGAAACCCGGUGAUCUAGCCAUGGGCAGGUUGAAGGUUGGGUAACACUAACUGGAGGACCGAACCGACUAAUGUUGAAAAAUUAGCGGAUGACUUGUGGCUGGGGGUGAAAGGCCAAUCAAACCGGGAGAUAGCUGGUUCUCCCCGAAAGCUAUUUAGGUAGCGCCUCGUGAAUUCAUCUCCGGGGGUAGAGCACUGUUUCGGCAAGGGGGUCAUCCCGACUUACCAACCCGAUGCAAACUGCGAAUACCGGAGAAUGUUAUCACGGGAGACACACGGCGGGUGCUAACGUCCGUCGUGAAGAGGGAAACAACCCAGACCGCCAGCUAAGGUCCCAAAGUCAUGGUUAAGUGGGAAACGAUGUGGGAAGGCCCAGACAGCCAGGAUGUUGGCUUAGAAGCAGCCAUCAUUUAAAGAAAGCGUAAUAGCUCACUGGUCGAGUCGGCCUGCGCGGAAGAUGUAACGGGGCUAAACCAUGCACCGAAGCUG
rnacentral:rRNA from 1 species